rnacentral:rRNA from 1 species
UACGAAGGGGGCUAGCGUUGCUCGGAAUUACUGGGCGUAAAGCGCACGUAGGCGGCUCUUUAAGUCGGGGGUGAAAUCCUGGAGCUCAACUCCAGAACUGCCUUCGAUACUGUAGAGCUUGAGUUCGGGAGAGGUGAGUGGAACUGCGAGUGUAGAGGUGAAAUUCGUAGAUAUUCGCAAGAACACCGGUGGCGAAGGCGGCCAACUGGACCG